UACGAAGGGGGCUAGCGUUGCUCGGAAUCACUGGGCGUAAAGCGUGUGUAGGCGGGUCGUUAAGUACCUUGUGAAAUCCCACGGCUUAACCGUGGAACUGCUCGGUAUACUGGCGAUCUUGAGCCACUUAGGGGUCAGCGGAACAAAUGGUGGAGCGGUGAAAUGCGUAGAUAUCAUUUGGAACGCCAAUGGUGAAAACAGCUGACUGGGAGUGUGCUGACGCUGAGACACGAAGCCAGGGGAGCGAACGGG
rnacentral:rRNA from 1 species